CUCACGAGAACAGACACACACACGCUCACACACAGCACUCGCUCUCUGGAGUAGCGCUUGGAUUGGAGGGGGAGAGGGUGAACUGCACCUGUCCCACGCACACACAAAUAAACACACUCACCCAGGGGAGAGAUCAUUCGGCCCUAUGUGUGGCUGGGACCAAAGCUUCUCGGCUACCUCUCAUAGCUCGGCCAUGUUGACUACUGAGGGGGCCCACACUGUAGAGCACGACAACGUCAAAAUGGACACCGAACCCCAUAGGGACACGGAAACCCAGAUGGACACGAGAUCCAAAAUGGCCACCGACACAGACUCUAAGAUGGAGGAGGCGGACAUGAUGAAGUGGACGGAGGUGGAGUUUGAGGAGAAGUGUACCUACAUCGUCAAGGAUACUCCGCGGGAGGCAGGGACAGAGGGCAAGGGGUUAACGAGAGCAGAGGCCUCACUGCCUCGUAACCUGGCCUUCAAACAACUAGCUGAUUCCAAAGAGGUGAUUGGAGUGGCCAGCAGAGAGUACAUCCCCAAAGGAACACGCUUUGGCCCCCUAGUGGGUCAGAGCUACACUGCAGACAGCAUCCCCAAAGACGCCAACAGGAAGUACUUCUGGAGGAUCUACUCGCAGGGCGACUUCCACCACUUUGUGGACGGCCUGGACGAGGAGCGGUCUAACUGGAUGCGCUACGUCAACCCGGCCCACUCGGCGGGGGAGCAAAACCUGGCGGCGUGCCAGAAUGGCACGAACAUCUACUUCUACACGGUGAGGGCCAUCCCCCCUGGCACCGAGCUGCUGGUGUGGUACUGCCCAGAGUUCGCUCACCGCCUCCACUACCCGCCUUCUGGAGAGCUCAUGAUGCAGAAACUCAAGCAGUCUCUGCUGGAAGCCAAGCAGCAGGCCAGUGAGGAGCAUGUCAGCAGCAGCAGCGCCCCAGUCAAGAUAGAACACAGUGUCUCCUCCAUCCUCGGGGGCCUCACCACCUCUAGCAAGAGGGAGCCCAGCCGGCCACUGGCCACGCGACCCCGCUGUGCUGACAGCCCCGAUCGGCCCCUGUACCCCCCGUGCCCUCUACCCUCCAUUCCGCCCCCACCCUCAGGAAGAGUUCCUGAGCCUUAAGACCAGCCCGGUACAAUUUUGUUACACAGCAAUCCGAUCACCAGGCAACCAGUCGUCGGCAACACCGAGUCCAUCGGCGCGGAGCAGUCCGGAGAGUAGCCCCGAUGGUAGCCCCGCAGCUCCCCAACCCACACCCCAAUCCUCCUCUUUUUACUCCCGAGGUUUGGGUCCCUUCCCAGGCUACUCUCCACCAGCCGCCCCCCUUUCCUCGCCCUUCUACCCCCCCGGCCCCCACUACUCCCGCUACAUGCUACCCCACCACUACCCACUACCUGGGGGUGGGGUGCCUGCUGUCGGGGGCAUGUUUCCAAGAAUGUGCCCGCUCUUCAGCAGCCUGCUGCCCCCCCAACAUGCCCCUGCUGCCUGGGGAGGCGGGGAGCAGGUUCUUACUACCUAACUCCCACCCCUCAUUCUCCACCCACCGGGACUUCCUCCUCUCCGCCACCACCAGUGCCUUCUCAGCCGCCACCACCCUCGGGGACAAAGCCGGCCCCCACUAUCUCCAUCACCCCUACUCUGGCCAUGAUCAUCCUCACCCACACCCCUACUCUGGCCAUGAUCAUCCUCACCCACACGGGCACCCCCACGCCCCCACCAGCGGCUCACCUACAGCGGGCAUGGCGGCCCCUAGCGAGCACGUGCCCACCAAGCCUACCUCAGCUCUACUGGGCAGCUCCAGCGGCCGGCAGGAGGAGGCCAUGAACCUGAGCAAGAUGAAGCGUGGUGGUGGCUCUACAGGCUACAAGACCCUGCCUUACCCACUCAAGAAGCAGAACGGCAAGAUCAAGUACGAGUGUAACGUCUGCAGCAAGACCUUCGGCCAGCUCUCUAACCUCAAGGUGCACUUGCGUGUCCACAGCGGUGAGCGACCCUUCAAGUGUUCGACCUGCAGUAAGGGCUUCACCCAGCUGGCCCACCUGCAGAAACACUUCCUGGUGCACACUGGAGAGAAGCCCCAUGAGUGCUCGGUGUGCCAUAAGCGCUUCAGCAGCACCAGCAACCUAAAGACCCACCUGCGCCUCCACUCGGGUGAGAAGCCCUACUCGUGCAAGCUCUGCCCUGCCAAGUUCACCCAGUUUGUCCACCUCAAGCUGCACAAGCGCCUUCACUCCCGCGAGAGGCCACACAAGUGCCCCCACUGCCACCGCCACUACAUUCACCUGUGCAGCCUGCGGCUACACCUGAAGGGCUACUGUCUGGCUGCAGUCACCUCCUCAGGUGGCCCCACCCCCAGCCCCUCCACCCAGGAAGAGCUCCAGCGCAUCAAUGAGGAGAUUGAGCGCUUCGACAUGAGCGACCACGCUGAGAGGCUGGACCAGCUCCAGGGAGGGGUUGAGGUCGAGGCUGUCCUGGAGAAGCAGGUCCUGGGGAUGCUGUGGAGGGAGAUGGACCUCAAGACCUCCGGCUACAACCACAACAAGGGCGGCGCCAGUGAGCUCCAGUCUACAGGUUACGGCCUGUACAAUUCAGUCAAUGAGACGUCGGUUAUCAAACUGCGCCGAAGCAGUCCACUUCUUCCUUCCAACGUCAAUAUCAAGCAGGAGUCAGAGGAACAGGCUUAAGCUCACCGUUUGAAGGACGUUGAGUCAGACUGUGGCUCUGAGAACUUGGUUAGCAGGAGCAACGAGUGUAAAUAUAUUUUGAUGGUUGUAGCGACUGGGGUUUUCAAACUUUCAGGGACUUAUGUACUCAGGGCUCCAAGAGACACUGUCCCCAGAUUACUUAACUGUUCCACUGUGUCCUACACUUAAGACAGGACAAUCAUCCACCCAGAUCAUUGUUAUUAUUACUGUUUGUUUUCAAUGUUAUUUUUGUUGAAUUUAUUAUAUAACCUCCUUAAUUUAUUAUGCAAUUAUUCUGUCUUCGAAAAGCAAUAUGUGGAAGUGAUGUUUACAAUGACCAGAUAAUUCAUUGUAAUUUACUGUUUGUUUUUCUGAUUUUGAUUUCACUCUGGGGCCAUUUCUUUGUAUAUACUUUCUCUCUCUGCCUGUAUCCAUCCUGUGUGACCUGUUGAGAAGCAGGGGUGCCUACUAUUAUUUUAAAUGUAUUUAAACAAUAUAGCAGGUUAAAAAGGGUCAAUGGUCGCAACUUUGUUUUGCCAAAGGUGAACACAAACUUUUGAUUAGAAAGAAAAGGGAUUGCUUGACCUUCUGACCCUUCCAGCAAGUUUCUCUAUGUAAACACUCCUCCCGAGUUCUACAAAAAAAGGGCAUUUUUUGUGUUAUGUAUUUUCAACAACGGUUACCUCAGUGUGUGUAUGAUUGUAUGCCUGUGAGUGUGAGUAUGUGUGUCUGUACGUUCAGAGGGAAGCUGAAGGAGAGUGUGUUUUCUAUUUAUUGCUUUUGCUACUUGAAGAAGAAACCAAAAUGAAAUGGAGUGCAGCUCCACAUGAUCCAAAGAGCAGGAAAGUCUGCUCAAUAUGUAGCAUAUAAAGACUGCGAGUCCAGGAAUCCCCCCCCCCCCAACAGUCCAAGGGAACUUCAAUACACUGUUAAUAGCAAAAGGAGACACUGUAAAGUUUACUUGGCUUUAGUUUCAAACACACCAAAAAGAGACUUAAAUUAUUGAAAAGAAGACCAAGAGAAUACUGUUUGUCUGUGAUGAAGUGUUAGCUCUUUAGCUGUGGUUUUGUUUGAGAAAAAUGUAUCCCCCUUCUCAUUUUUAAAUGGCACAGACCAAAGCACCUUGGCCUUCUUAUGCACUGGCCCUUCCCCUUUAUGACUUAAGUGCCGGUGCUUGCUCCUCCCACUAUUCAAUAUGAUUGGACUGUUAUAAUGGCUUUAAGACGACAUAUGGUUUGUCUCAAUAGCAACUGUGAGCCCAGGCCGGUGACCUGGAAGCAGUUGCACAUCAGCCCCCAUCCCCUCGCUUUUUUCUCUCUCCCUCCAACUCUGAAGUAUGACCAAAGCAUCCCCUUUCAUCUUUAGCCCUAGAGGAGAAAAAAAUACUGUCUCUGUUUACAUACUCGUUUACAUUGUUAUUUAUGUGCAAAAUGUAAAUUUAUGAUAAAUGUCCACAGUUCUAA